CCUACGGGAGGCAGCAGUGGGGAAUAUUGCACAAUGGGGGGAACCCUGAUGCAGCGACGCCGCGUGGGUGCGGACGUACUUCGGUAUGUUAAGCCCUAUCAGCAGGGAAGAAAAUGACGGUACCUGACUAAGAAGCCCCGGAUAACUCCGAGACAGCAGCCGCGGUAAGAUGCAGGGGGCAAGCGUUAUCCGGAUGUACUGGGUGUAAAGGGAGCGUAGAGUGCGUGACAAGUCUGAUGUGAAAGGCCGGGGCUCAACCCCGGAACUGCAUUGGAAACUGGCAUGCUGGAGUGCAGGAGGGGCAAGCGGAAUUCGUAGUGUAGCGGUGAAAUGCUUAGAGAUUAGGAGGAACACCGGUGGCGAAGGCGGCUUGCUGGACGGUAACUGACGUUGAGGCUCGAAAGCGUGGGGAGCAAACAGGAUUAGAUACCCCUGUAGUC
rnacentral:rRNA from 1 species